CUAUAUCCCCGCUCUGGACUUUCUCCUCUCUGCCUUCGGUGAACUAUGUGCACUAUCGGUCUCUCAUCUCUACCGUUCGCCGAAUGCAACACCGACCAACACGACCUCUCUGAUCGGUGCGUUUUUUUCCUCUCAUCUCUGUCGUUUGCCUAUCUGCAACUCCCAUCAGAAAAUUUUGUGGCUGGUGAGUUCUCCUUCUAUCAUCUCCACUGGAUUUGUUCUUUCGUUUUUUUUCACUCUUUCUCUCACUAGAGUCAUCGAAAUUGGUAUUGAUAAUGGACAAAAAUUUAAAAGACACAUAUGAGCUGUAAAAAGUACUAAAAGACUGCAACAAUAAAUGAUAUGUUAUUUGGUUAUGGCCUAGGAAUUGUUAUUUAAUCAAAAUAAAUAAAUAAUACAUUAUGAAAAUUUUAUAAAACAAUUUUGUUUGUUAAAAAUAUAAAAUCGUAANNNNNNNNNNNNNNNNNNNNNNNNNNNNNNNNNNNNNNNNNNNNNNNNNAAUCAUUUAAUAUAUAUAUAUAUAUAUAUAUCAUCUUCCUAUUCAACUUUUGUUAAAAAUCUCAUAAAUGAUAUAAUAGCUUUGUUAAAUAAUUUAUAUAGAAUAAAAAGCUUAUGAUAAUUCAAAGGGUAUAUAGAAUAACUUCAUUAAUUAUUUAAAAGUUUUGAUUUCGGCCCCUCCACUGAUAGUAUUCGUGUUCCGCCCCCGAGUGAAAUUGAUAUUAUCACCUUCGGAACUUUGAUAACUUAAAAUGUAAUAUUGAAAAUAGUCCGAUCUUAUUGUAAUACAUUUAAUGAUUAACGAUGAUAACUAAUGCAACAAAUCUUAAAAAAUUAUUGUUUCUUACACUUUGAGUAAUAUUGAGAUGGUUGUUUUUUAAGGGCAUCUUAUAUGUAUGAUUACAAAAUAAUAAAACAUGCGACUUUUUCAUGAUCGACUGGAUUAGUAUAAAUAAAUCGUAAAACAUGAUUAGUGCGUAGCAACUAGCAAGUAGCAAUGUACCUUAAAAUAGAACGGUUUUAAACUUUUAUUUAUAUUGCCCCAGUAAGCUCUUGAUUUAUGGAGACUUUCUUUUCUACCAGAAAGAAAGACAUAGGACACGGCUCCAGAAGUUGGUGUUGGUCUCGAGACGAAGGAUUCGAUAAGGCAGUAAAGGAAAAUUCGAUUGAUGCUAGUUCCAGAAAGCAGAUUCCAGAUGUGGAGAUUACGACUAGAGAGAUUUUGGAAGGGGUUCCAGUGGGCCAAUACUCAUAAUUCCCCUAUAUUAUGGGCUUAGUUAGCCCGUUUGUUAUAAUAAGUUAAAUUUUCUCCAUAUCAAAUUAUGUUUGCUAGCUUUGGCUCUUUCAAAAAAAAAUUAUCAAUUAAUUUGUAAACUCUACCACUGUUAAUUAUUUAAUUUGAUAAAUUAAUAAAAAUAAAUUUAGUUCGUAUAUAGACGUAUAGCAUGUUUAUGCGAACCAUUUUAACUUUUGUGUGAUUUUUAUUUCCUUUCACCCAUGAUUAUUUGUGUUUGUGUAAUUCUAAAUUAUAUCAAUGGUCAUUAUGGUUUGGUAUAAACAUUUUUUUUGUCCUUAACUUAUUUCUUUAACUCGGACAUAGUUUUUAUGAUACUUUUUGUUAUAUUUUUGGUCAUUGCUAAACGUAAAAUAAAUAUUUUGUCCUUAAUAUUUUUUUAAUUCAUUUGUUUUUUGGUUACUCUUUAUUAAUUUAGAAAAUAAACUUAGAUAAUUUAUAAAUAAAUGGGUCCUACAUCCCACAUCCUCAUCACUCGCCAGAUUUCGACACCACCUCCACCCGCCAUUCUUUCCACCACCUUAUUCCUUUCAUCCCAAUUAUUUUCAUCUUAUAAAUUAAACCUAGAUGCCAACAAUGAAAAUCAGACAUGUACAAACCUAAUGUAAAUCAGUUGACAUCUACAACCAUCUUUUAUGCUCGAAUCCAUCUAAUGAUUUUUUUUAACGUGGGUUGAGUUUAAAUGUUGGGGCUGAAAAUGAUUUUCUAGGAGUGAUAGUGGGAGAAAAAUCAGAGAAGCUCCAAAUGAAACCCAAAUUUGAAAACCAAAACUUGAAAUGAAUAUUUUUCCUUUUUCUCCAUCCAUCUACCUUGUCCCUCAAUUGUCUAGCCUAUAUAGUGAUUGCAAUCCUUUUGUCGAUCUUCUCAAUCAUUUACUUAUUGAGCCUUGUAACCUAUGUCGGUACCACCUCGAACAAGGCCCUCAAGACAUCAGAAUACAACGGAACACGUAGGCUUGCAUCAUCCAAACCUAAUCCACCAUAAACACUUGGGCCCAAACCAUAAGUAUAACCAUUCUUCCCCUUCCUAGCCAUCACUAUACUACAGGUAUAAUUGGAAACAAAUUAAAAUGAACUCAUAGUGUUACCCAUACUAUUUCUCAACUACUAGCUCCUCAUAAUCCUUGUGACUCUCCGUGAUUCAAAUAUAGAUCAUGUGCAUACUACCAUCCAUACCAAUACGUACCUGCCCCAAGAAUUAUCCCAAAGUUCUCAAGUUGCUCCUCUAUGACCAUCACCAGGUUUCCUAUCAUGCAUGCAUAUGCUUAUCCAUAUACACUAAAAUACUUCUUAAGAGUCUCUAGGAUUUAUCCUCUACUCAUGUGGUGGAAAGGUCUCUGCUAAUGUCGACAAGUCCUCCUAUGAAUGCAAGUUAUAUGUAAUUGAAGAUAAGACAAACAUUUGACUAGAUGUCUCUGCCAUAAGACCCUUCUCAGACAAAAACAUGCAAUAAGGAUAAAUCAAGACUUCUAAUGUUAUCUAGUCAUAAUCAUGUACUAUUGGAAAUAAUGUUCAAGAUUAUUAACUAUUGAUAAUAUUUCUAAAUAAUAACAGGGUUCAUUUAGGUUGUCUUCAUGACACAAAUAAGAAAUCAAAAGAAAAAAAAAUUAAGGAGAAAAUUAGUUUAUUAAUUUAUUAUGCUUAAUAAAUUAAUCAAAAACUAUUUUGGAAUUACUUAUGGAUUAAUUAAUUCAAAAGGUUGAAUAUUAAUUAGUUCAAAUAUUGACUAAUUGGAAUAUUCAAAAACCCUUUAUGGAAUAAGGGAAAAGUGAAAUCUCCAUCCCACAUGGGAUGGGAGAAGAUUUUGAAAUUAUCUCCAUCCUACAUGGCAUGGAAGAUGAAACAUGGCAAGGGCUUUAAGGCUAUAAAUAUGGUACUAAGGGCUUUAUUACGCCUUGCACCUUAGCUUCAAAUUUUUAACAAAUUCUUCCCUUUCUCUCUAUGGGACGAAUUUAUUAACCCUUCCUAGGGUUUGUAGAAAUGUAACCCUCUCCUAGUUUUCUUUUGGUUUCCUCUUAGGACUCUUGGGUGUGAUUCCAUUUGAAGGGUUCUCCAUUGGGUCCUCUCAUCCAAGCAACAUGGUUAGAUAAAAAAAAAGUUCAAGAAGAUCAAUACCGAGCUUCAAAGGAGGUUAGUAAUUUUGUCUUUCUUAGUAGAUUUAUAGUUUUAUAAGUAGAUUGUUAUAAUUAGUAAAACCUAGAUCCUAUGAUGCAUGUACACAUAGGGAUUGUUUUGUUAUUCCAAUGUAUAUAUCUUGUGUGUGGUGAUAUAUAGAAAAUCCAACAGUGGUAAUUAGAGACUCUAGAUUUUAGUUAUAAGCAUUGUUGUAAAAAUUGAAAUUGAAAUUCUAGAAUCUGGGCAUUACACGACGUGUAAUUUAGUUUUUCAAAUGUUCGAAUUUUUGGUUUUUUUUUCAAAUUAUGUGGAUAAACCUCUUGGUUUAAAUAUUAUUUAAAUCUAAAUAUUCAAUUUAAUAUUAGUUCUAAAUAUUUAAAUAAAAAAAUUAAAUAUGAAUAUUUACUAUUUUUGAAUAUUGUUUCAAUUAUAAUUUAAAUAUGAAUAUUUAAUUUUAAAUAUUAUUUAAUUAGAGAAUUUAAAUUUGAAUAUAUAAAGGUUAAUUAAAAUUUUUAAAUAUUGUUUAAUAAAGAUUUAAACUAAAAUACUUUAAAGGAUUUAAUUAAAACAUUAAAUAUUAUUUAGGUUAGAGAAUUAAAUUGGAAUAUUAAAAAUGAUAAAUAUCAAAUUAAAAAUAUUUAAAUUUACAUAAUUAUUAUAAUAGGAUUAUUAUAUGUAUAAGAAAUUAUUACAAACAUAUGUUAUCACAUGUUUAGCAGAUAAAGCUAUCAUCAAACCAUGACUAGGCUCACAUAAUCUAAUGUUAUAAAAGAGGUUUAAAGAGGCAUCUUCGAUUCCGAAUGAGGUCGGUUUUGAAAGACAUUAGGCUUACCACCCUCACCACCUCUUUACAUUUUGAGAUUAGAGUUACUAAAAGGGUUUGAUAGGAUAAGUGUCUAACACCUAUUUUAGGUAAAUAGUUCAGUUAUGAUUUUGGUUCAAUUAAAGAUGUAAAAUCAUGGAUUUUAAGAUGAUCACGGCGUGAAGAAGGAGGCCUCAUGACAUGACCAUCGAUGCAUAAACGUGCAUUCAUCCUUGUGGGCCACGACAUAACGAGUAAGUGGUCACGACGUGACGACUAUAUGGGGGUUAACCUUAAUUCUGUGUUUUGCACCCUAUAUAAUGGAAGUGAGGAGCUAGGGUUUGCACACCCCAACCUCCAUCACCUCUCUUCACCCUCAAGGAAACCCUAGUCCUCCUUUGUUGAUUGUGAGUUUCUUUUGGUGAUUUCAAGCUUAGAAUAAGAAGAUAAAGGAUCUUUGGUGUAUCAUCUCCUAUAGUAAGUGUCUCCCGUAUCAUCAUGAGUUGCUUUAGGACCCUUGUAAGUCCUCAAGCUCAUGCCUUUUUAGCUCAAGUAAUGCAUAUAUAAAGUUUUGUGCACUUUUCUCAAUGUUUAAGGAAGUUUGAGUGUUAGGAACUCCUAAAGUUGGCACCUUUAUGAUUUUUAGAGGCUCAUUUAUGACCACUUGUCCCAGAUCUGGAAGAUCAGUGAGAUAUUUAUUCCAUGCAUGCGAUUUUGUCUCAUUUUCCCGUCAUUUUGACCUAGUUCGUAUUCAAGACAUACAUGUCUAAAAAGCAAUGAUUUUUAUGGUCCUUUGGGUUGUAGAAAGCCUUUUGGAAAGUUUGAAGGCUUGGUUUGAAGGAUUAUGAGCUUAACGCUUUAAGCUGUCCAGAUCGGUUCUCACGAUAUGACAGGUUAUCGUCAUAAUGUGACGAUGAGCGUUUCCGUGACUAUUUUGUCCUAAAUCGGUCACGAUGUGACCAACGGGUGGACAUGACGUGACAAUCAGUUGGGAUUGACUUUGACCAUUGACAUUUUAGCAUGGUUAACUUUUGGUCAAAUUAGGGUUUUAGGGUGUAGACUGAGAGGGUGCUUUUUUAUUGUUGUUAGGUGUCUUGUUGUAUAUGUAUACCCUGUGUGUGAGUUGUUAUGUUUUUAGAUGCUAUCAAAAAGGUGAAUUUUCUAACUAUAUAUAUNNNNNNNNNNNNNNNNNNNNNNNNNNNNNNNNNNNNNNNNNNNNNNNNNNNNNNNNNNNNNNNNNNNNNNNNNNNNNNNNNNNNNNNNNNNNNNNNNNNNNNNNNNNNNNNNNNNNNNUAUAUAUAUAUAUAUAUAUAUAUAUAUAUAUAUAUACAUACAUAUAUAUAUAUAUACACAUACAUACAUAUAUAUGGUACUGUAUGUGUAUUGACCAGCUGGGUCCUAAUUGUGAUUGUUGUUAUAUGUCCAAUUGAGUUGUUGAUAACUUCUAGAUAAAUGUGAGUCCAUGGGACUAGUGAUAGUUCCCUAGGUUAUUGAUAACCCCUCAUACAUGUCGUUAAUCCACAAAGCUUGUUGUUAGCCCAUUGGGAUUGUUGAUAAUCCCCCGAGUUGCUGAUAACCAAUAGUUGUUUAUUAUGCUAUGUUGUAUGUGAUAUUUUGGGAAACUCACUAAGUUUCAUGCUUACAGUUGUGGAUUAAAUGUGUUUCAGGUACUUCUGAUGAUAACGGGAAGACGAAGGCUUGACUGUAUACUCCGACUUGAAGAUUUUUAUGAUUUGUGCAUUUUGAUACUUUGAUUUGGGAUGAUUGUAUUUAAUAUACCUGAGAUUUUAUUGACUUGGUUUUUAUAAUACUUGAGGUUUUUCUAUAUUAAUGAAAAUUUUUAUGGUAAAAAUUAGGAUGUUGCAAGUUGGUAUCAAAGCCAUAGUUGGAGAGAUUUUGAUGAACAUUUGAUGAAUUUCAAAUAAAAGAAAGUUGGAAGCAAUGUGUACGGUCAGUUGGAGCUUGAGGAAGUGAUCUCCCAAAAUAUCCAUAUUUGAGUUAUUUGUCAUGUUAUACAUGUUGUUAUUUGAGCUGAUAGAAGUGCAUUCUAGAUGAUAGGCUAAGGAUCCUUCUGGAAUUGCAAGAUAGGGUUUCCUGACUUUGUGAUGGCUUAUAUCCUAGUAGAUUACUUGUGAACGUUGUGAUAUGGUUGAAACUAAGAUUGCUAAUUGCUUUGUGUAUACUAUAUGGCUGUAUAAAAUUAUGAUUUUAUAGCUUUAGAAUGCCUGAUUUAAUCUUACUUCAUGUUCCUUAUCUGGUUGUGGAUUUGG
rnacentral:lncRNA from 1 species